CCAAACGUUGUUUACGUUAGUUUCAAGACGUUGAGAUGUGUUUUGAAGAUUUGUACACCAUGAUACAAAACUAAGAAGAUACCAGGGAAAUCUAGAAGCAUUAGGCAACUUCUAAUUUCAUGAAAGAUUUAGAACUUUGAACACAAAAAUUCCUAUCGAAAUUGGUAGAUGGCAAAACAUUCAGAGAGAAAAUCGUAUUUGUACUUUGUGCAAUAACGGUGAUAUUGGCGACGAGUUCCAUUACAUUUUAGAAUGCUCAGCAAUAGACGAUAGUAGACAAUUGCUACUAAAGAAACCUUUUAUAAACAGACCAAAUAUUCUAAAAUUUCAAGGUCUCAUGAAUAGUAGCAACCCGUCUGAACUAAACAAUUUGUGCAAGUUUAUAAGAAUUAUUAUUAAAUGCCUAGAAUCUCCUGGGUAAUCACUUUA